AUUGAACGCUGGCGGCAGGCCUAACACAUGCAAGUCGAGCGGAUGAAGGGAGCUUGCUCCCGGAUUCAGCGGCCGACGGGUGAGUAAUGCCUAGGAAUCUGCCCGGCAGAGAGGGAUAACGUCCGGAAACGGGAGCUAAUACCGCAUACGUCCAGAGGGAGAAAGUGGGGGAUCUUCGGACCUCACGCUAUCAGAUGAGCCUAGGUCGGAUUAGCUAGUUGGUGGGGUAAAGGCCUACCAAGGCGACGAUCCGUAACUGGUCUGAGAGGAUGAUCAGUCACACUGGAACUGAGACACGGUCCAGACUCCUACGGGAGGCAGCAGUGGGGAAUAUUGGACAAUGGGCGAAAGCCUGAUCCAGCCAUGCCGCGUGUGUGAAGAAGGUCUUCGGAUUGUAAAGCACUUUUAGUUGGGAGGAAGAGCAGUAUGUUAAUACCUUGCUGUUUUGACGUUACCAACAGAAUAAGCACCGGCUAACUUCGUG
rnacentral:rRNA from 1 species